UACGGGGGGAGCAAACGUUGUUCGGAAUCACUGGGCUUAAAGCGUGUGUAGGCGGGUCGUUAAGUGCCUUGUGAAAUCCCAUGGCUCAACCAUGGAACUGCUGGGCAUACUGGCGAUCUUGUGCAACCUAGGGGCGAGCGGAACAGAUGGUGGAGCGGUGAAAUGCGUAGAUAUCAUCUGGAACGCCAAUGGUGAAAACAGCUCGCUGGGGGUUUGCAGACGCUGAGACACGAAAGCCAGGGGAGCGAACGGG
rnacentral:rRNA from 1 species